UGGUCUGUCAAGUCAAAAUAAAACAGAUCAGUAACAAGAAGAACUUGAAGCUGUCUUCUAUAUAUGAGAAGGAGUUAUAGUGAGAACUCACUGCUUCAGAAGACAGCAGUGAGCAACAUAAACCAAGUAAGAUGUCUGAGAGUGGCAGAAAGCACAAAAGUGUGCAGGGCACAGACUCACAAUCACAAGUGUCUGACAAGGAAGCAGUUGAAGAGGAGCUGCUGCAGUGCAGUACAACCAUGCAGCCACAAGUGACUGAUGGCACAAUGGUCAGCAACCCGACUACCUCAGCAGAGCCGCAACUAGGCCGAAGAGUCCGCAAUAGGACAGAAAAUGGUCAAGAACUGCACGGUGAGCAAUUAAGAAGAGUUGCACAUCGUUUCAGUGUGUGCUAUGACAAGUGGAAGGAUGGUAUUAAAGUGGCCAAACAAGCGCUUCGUGGAGACACUGGAAGGAUGACUCAGCGAAACCAGGUGACUAGGUCUUCAUCAAAGUAAUCAAAAGAAAGACGUGGUCUUCACCCCGGUGGGAGGAACCAUUCCAAGUCCUAUUCGCCACACCCAGAGCUGUCAAGAUUGCAGAAAGACCCAGCUGGAUACAUCUCAGCCACUGUAAGCUGCAGAGAGUGCUUAGCUCCUAGGCCCCGGUCAGGAGGAAGUCUGGCUACGAAGAGGGUGUCAAUUAUAGUUUGGCAUCAGUCUCAAACCGGCGAAGAACUAAGAACCCUGGCCAUUUAGCUCCCUAGGGGUUUAGGUGGCUCUGUGGAACUGAACGGAAAAUGGCACUCAGACGAGUGCUUGUCUGUGCUGUGGCUGUAGCAUGCUUGCCAAUGACAUGGAGUGUCCAGGGUCCCCAACGGGAAAGUGGAACUUCCUCUCGAAUCAAGAGAAUGACGACCGAACUGUUGACGAAGUAUAUAAAGAUAAACCCAGAUAUACCACAUGCAGACAACAUGUGGUACCAGUAUGUGUCAAUGUUGGCCGAAACAUACACUCAAACUGAAUGUUAUGUAUGUUCCAUAAUGCCACGAUCAAGUCAACAGCCCGUCCUACAUGCCCGACCCAUGCCAGAGAAAAAUGGAUGGUGUUUCGCAAUACUAAGGGCUUUUGGGUUUAAUCCCCUCAAAGGACUGAGACGGUCGGGAAUUACUGAGGCACAACUAGCCGCCCAUCCCUGUUACAAAAUCUCUAGGCCAUUCACAAUAGUGUCAAAAGGUUCUGUCGUCACACCCGCACCAGUGACUCUUGAAGUGAGUGAAACCAUCUCACAUCCCCUGUGCUUCCGAUGAAGACGUGUUGAUGGAAUAAAGGUGGGAGAUACAAAACGUUGCAUCAACACCGCACGUCUAGAACCUUCCAGCGAGACCUCGAUGAAUACCACAGUAGCAAUCAGACAAAUCCUAACAGGAGGCAAAAAUCCCCACUCUAUCAUCGAAGGGGGAUGGUAGCUCUGUGGUCACCGAGGCUACGCAGUCCUUCCAGGACAAUGGGAUGGCACAUGUGCCGUCGUAUAUGUGUCAGAUCACACUGUGUUCCUCAUUCUGACACAUUUUCAGGAACAUCAUCGGCGAAAGACACGUGCAGCUGUUGCUCCCACCUUCCGUCCCUACAACAGUGUCUGGGGCUCAGACGUACCAGAUGAAUACAAGCUUUGGAGCACAGGACAAAAGGUGGCACUCAAACUCUUCCCACAGAGGCCCUUACAGGUUAUCAGACGGAACUGCACGCUCUGAGACUAAUGGCACUACAGUCCCGAAUGGUUUUGGACCUUCUGACAGCCGAAAAGGAGGUGUGUGUGAAAUUGUUGGUACCUCCUGUUGUACCUACAUCCCAGGAGAAAAUGACACCCACAUCGAGUAUGCUCUACAAGGACUUCGGAACCUCCGUAGGGCUAUGUCUGUCAGGUUUAUUUCGAUGACUGAAUAACUAUUAAGAGAAGAGCAACAGCAAACAAACCACAAGUGAGACAGAAUAUUAAGUCUUUUCUCGCGAGGAGUGCAGUACAGAUAGCUUACAACAAUCUCUACACACACUAAAUCUCUGUAUGCACUCCCGCUCUUUUUAUUUGGAUUUGCCCUACCCACAAUUUGUGAGACAAGCCCCUAAAGGAAGGAGGGGGAAAGCAUGUGGGCUUUGCCUCGAAAGGAAAAAUCACUAGGUGUUUACAUACUAAUGAAAACAUCUGGGAAGAGGAGUUUGAGUGGACUGGAUACAGAAGAGAAAACCUUUGACCUCUAGUUAAAACAUAGCAAGGGGAGUUUUACGACAUUGUGUAGGAUGCAACAAGCUAAGUUAUUUAUUACUGGUUAUAUACAUUCCAACCUAAUCCUACGAUCAAGACAGUUAGGAAACCCUGACUUUAAUGGUCACUUGGAGGUUCAUCUGGGGUGCAGGACAGCAAUGAGGCAUGUUGUCUAACAAAGUGGUCUUUGUUAGAAAGGAACUGUCCUUCUGUGGUACAUCAUAAAAACAGCAAGCAUAUAUUGCAGUAAUAUUGCGGUAAAGCAUUGUUUAGAGAACGCAUGAUAACAUAUAUAUACAUUUUUCUAACAAUGUCCCAGGACGAAACUCCGGCCACGGAUGUCCAUCCCUUUUGGUGGCUGUUUUACAGCAAUUGGAGGCAACUUCUCUUGAAAGUUGCAGUUCUUUUAGUUGCCAUACUAUUAUUUCUAUGUAUUUUUACAUCAUGCAUCAUACCUUGUAUUCGUCACAUGAUGUCAACAUCAGCGUUUGCUGUCCAGAAUAUCAUGUUGGUCCAGCGUGAACAAGAUGAGUGGGACCACCUUGCAUAAAUCGCCUACCUGUUUGUUUUUUUCUUUUUGAUGAUCCAGAACAAAAUACAUUCCAUCAUAACGAACAUGGCCAAAGCCGAAUGGAGAACUGUAGUUCUGAUGAACUCUGGAAUGUAAACUUUCAUACUUUUUGAUGUUACUAUACUAUAUUGUGUAGGCAUAUACUCAUUUAUACGCAUAUGUAGUUAUUAGUUGAUGUUUUGUUUUCCCAUGAAUUCCAAUGUUAAACAGGGGGGAAUGUUGGGAAAAAUAUAUUUUUUAUCAUUGGAUUCUAUGUAUCUACUUAUAUGUGAAAGACCUUCCACAGGAUGUGACAGUUUGAGCUCGUGAUAAUUACUUGGGAGCAGAUGGCUGGCGAAGGAGCUCAUGACUGGAGUCAGGAGUCGCGCUAUACAAUAAGCCCCAUAGUUAGCUAUACAUGAACAGAUAAUGAGGUUGUUAUGGGAUGGCUGAAGCAGACAAACGUCUUAUUUAAGUAGAAGUCAUGAGUACGCCACAGAGGUAUGCAUCCCAGGGGCACUAAGACUACACCUUUGUUAAGCUAAAGUCAUGAGACAACCAUACUGCUCUGUCCGUAAUAGUAUCCCUGUUGUUCUGUGAUCAUGAGAUAUAAUUGUGGAAUGUCCUUCCUGUCUAAAGAAACUAUGCAUUCAUGUACACUUGCCCCAUUGUUGUUCCUCGAUAAAAGGCAUUACCAAACUGGAAGAAGAGCCCGAAUCUCAGCCACACUUGCUGUGUGUCUGAUUUGCGCCCUUCUGCAGAAGAAGUCGCUCGCCAUCGAAGACACCUCCUGCCUCUGUGAGAUUCUUUUCAGAUAACUCACUGUAGCAUUGCUUAAAGAGCGUCUUUGUGUUUUAGGAUGGCUUUACUGCUCCCACUUGCUUUCUUUGGAGGCAUGAUUAGGGGUUAAUACAAUCCUCAAAGUAACAAAAAUACAAUAACAACGGAGUCAGUCGGCAUCCUGGCCGCGCGGUCGGGUUUUCUCGGGUCCUCCCGGCUCAUCUCGCGAGGCUCGACCUCCGAAUUUUGUUCAACAACCGAAGAAAAAAAAUCUCUACUUUUGUGUUCGAAUUCCAAUUAUUUCGAGAACCGGGACGUUCGAAAACCGAGGUUUGACUGUAAAACAAAUAGAUGCAGCUCACUGACAAGUGCCGCUGUUUGAGCUUAUUUUAGAAGAGUUCUGCGGGCGACUCAUGCGGUCCUCACGGGCGACCUGGUGCCCGCGGGCACCGUGUUGGUGACCCCUGCUAUAGAAUGAUGUUUAAAGUCGUAACAGGUUGAAUUAGUUGAAAAAUGUAGAAAUUUAAAGGGAAAAACGAAAUUUGGGAAAGUUUGGUGUGAAUUUCAAAAUUUUGAAUUUUUGGUAAGGGGGAAGUUGUGGAAUAGGUAGACUAAACAUGAACAUUUGAAAGUUGGGUGUUAUACACAGCGGGCUCAUACUUAACUACUUGCUUCUGUUUAGGCCCUUCAGCGUUUAAGCCCUUGAAUCCUUAGGUUGGGUUGAACUCUGCCUUAAAGUCUUGUCUUAGCUGCAUGUAGCCGUUUUAGCUCUUCUAAACGUGUUAGUUCUCUUUUUAAGCCAUCAAGCGACUUCUGCCUUGCAGCGUGCUCCUCUUGCUGUUUCUUUCUGAGAGCGCCUCACAGUUCUCUUUCUCUAUCUUACCUUCUGCAUCUUCCUUUUGGGCUUGCAGAAGACGGGCUUUUGCGUCUUCUUCUUCUGCUGCAACUAUCAGAUUAUUUUCAGUUUCAAGUGCUAACAUUCUCUCUUGCUGUUGUUCUUGUUCAGACAUUAUCUGUAGUACAGCUUGUGUGGCUGCAUACUCAGCAGCAGCUUCUUGUCUUUUAACUGCUGAUUGACCUCUGCAAACACUAUCACCCCUAGUACUAUAUUUUAACCUACCGCUGACUGUAAUUGCAAAUACAGAGGGUGCAUCAGGCCAAAUACAGGUUGUCCAUUUUGUGGCGCACUUCAUGUGUGGUGCUGCCAAUCUUUUGGUAUUCAUCAUACACUUGAUUCAGUUCAGAGAGUUCUAGUUGAAUAUUACUAAUGUGCCUCUGAAGCGUAUCACUAGAAUCCUGCUGAAAUACUGAUUUUUUGGCCACCUUGAUUAGGGCCUUCUACCACUCAUAACUUCUCUGAAAGCGACGUAGAAACUCGUUUAUUUUUACACUGUGAAGUUCUUUAUCUGUCAGUUGCAAAAGAGCGCGCCCUCUUUUGCUUCUACGUGGUGGUAGCUGCUUAGACCCAUCUACCUCUAAAAGCAGCUCUGUCUGAUCUACACUGACAUUUUUACACUUGACUGAUGAAUUAAACUUUAAAUGUCAACUUUACCCAAAACUAAAUGAAUUGGGCUCUCGAUCUUCAAACCAAUAUUAACAUAAGUGGAUGAUAAGAAAUCAACAUAUGUCACAAAUGCUCCUUCUUUCUUGAGGAAAACAAUAUAACACGCUACAACGUUCCCUGUUGUUAUCCACUCUCUUAUGUCCUCUUUCAAUACACAACUUAAGUGUCUAUCUUAAAUAAAACUGAAUGAAAAACGGUAAAUUGAUGUGCCAGGUUUUUCAUAUUUCUAGCUUUGAUCUGUAGUCGCCCUCCUUCAUUGAGCACGUUUUGACCUGUCGUCGUCCUCCUUCAUUGAGCACGUGCGAGCAGUCAUGCAAACACUUCAAACUUUUAGUGUGAACCCCGAACCGAAAAAACGAAUUUGAAUGUUAAAAAAAAGGCUAAUUUAACAGAUUUUGCCUAUGGCGGGCAUUUUUUUUACGUAACCCAACGAUAAACGGGGGAACA